AUUGAACGCUGGCGGCAUGCUUUACACAUGCAAGUCGAACGGCAGCGCGGGGCAACCUGGCGGCGAGUGGCGAACGGGUGAGUAAUAUAUCGGAACGUACCCAAGAGGGGGGGAUAACGUAGCGAAAGUUACGCUAAUACCGCAUACGAUCUACGGAUGAAAGUGGGGGAUCUUCGGACCUCAUGCUCCUGGAGCGGCCGAUAUCUGAUUAGCUAGCUGGUGAGGUAAAGGCCCACCAAGGCGACGAUCAGUAGCUGGUCUGAGAGGACGACCAGCCGAACUGGGACGGAGACGCGGCCCAGACUCCUACUGGAGGCAGCGGUGGGGAAUUUUGGACAAUGGGCGCAAGCCUGAUCCAGCAAUGCCGCGUGAGUGAAGAAGUCCUUCGUGUUGUAAAGCUCUUUUGUCAGGGAAGAAACGGUUGGGGCUAAUAUCCCCGGCUAAUGACGGUACCUGAAGAAUAAGCACCGGCUAACUACGUGCCAGCCGCCGCGGUAA
rnacentral:rRNA from 1 species